rnacentral:rRNA from 1 species
CUGGCUGAGAACGAACGCUGGCGGCAGGCUUAACACAUGCAAGUCGAGCGCCCCGCAAGGGGAGCGGCAGACGGGUGAGUAACGCGUGGGAAUCUACCCUUUUCUACGGAAUAACGCAGGGAAACUUGUGCUAAUACCGUAUACGCCCUUCGGGGGAAAGAUUUAUCGGGAAAGGAUGAGCCCGCGUUGGAUUAGCUAGUUGGUGGGGUAAAGGCCUACCAAGGCGACGAUCCAUAGCUGGUCUGAGAGGAUGAUCAGCCACAUUGGGACUGAGACACGGCCCAAACUCCUACGGGAGGCAGCAGU